rnacentral:rRNA from 1 species
AACUUUUAACAACGGAUCUCUUGGUUCUCGCAUCGAUGAAGAACGUAGCAAAGUGCGAUAACUAGUGUGAAUUGCAUAUUCAGUGAAUCAUCGAGUCUUUGAACGCAACUUGCGCUCAAUGGUAUUCCAUUGAGCACGCCUGUUUCAGUAUCAAAAA